AUACGUAGGGUGCAAGCGUUAAUCGGAAUUACUGGGCGUAAAGCGUGCGCAGGCGGUUUUGUAAGACAGGGGUGAAAUCCCCGGGCUCAACCUGGGGACUGCCAUUGUGACUGCAAGGCGGGAGUGCGGCAGAGGGGGAUGGAAUUUCGCGUGUAGCAGUGAAACGCGUAGAUAUGCGGAGGAACACCGAUGGCGAAGGCAAUCCCCUGGGCCCGCACUGACGCUCAUGCACGAAAGCGUGGGGAGCAAACAGGAUUAGAUACCCUGGUAGUCCACGCCCUAAACGAUGUCAACUGGUUGUUGGGGAUUUAUUUUCUCAGUAACGAAGCUAACGCGUGAAGUUGACCGCCUGGGGAGUACGGCCGCAAGGUUAAAACUCAAAGGAAUGGACGGGG
rnacentral:rRNA from 1 species